GAUGAACGCUGGCGGCGUGCCUAAUACAUGCAAGUCGAGCGAACAGACGAGGAGCUUGCUCCUCUGACGUUAGCGGCGGACGGGUGAGUUACACGUGGAUAUCCUACCUAUAAGACUGUGAUAACUUCGGGAAACCGUAGCUAAUACCUGCUAACUUGUUGAACCGCAUGGUUCCACAGUGAACGCCGGUCUUGCUGUCACUUAUUGAUGGAUCCACGGCGGAUUAGCUAGUUGGGGAGGGAAAGGCUUACCAAGUCGACGAUGCGUAGCCGACAUGAGAGGAGGAAAGGGAAAAAUGGGAAUGAGAAAAGGCCCAGACUCCUAAGGGAGGGAGGAGUGGGGAAAUUUUGACAAUGGGGGAAAGACUGAACGAGAAAAGCCGAGUGUGGGAAGAAGGGCUUCGGGUUGUAAAAAACUUUUGUUUGGAAAGAAAAAAUUGGGCAAAAAACGGUCGGGGGAUGACGGUACCGUAAGAAGAAGCACAGGCUAAAUACGUG
rnacentral:rRNA from 1 species